rnacentral:rRNA from 1 species
AGUAGGGAAUAUUGGACAAUGGGUGAGAGCCUGAUCCAGCCAUGCCGCGUGCAGGAAGACGGCCUUCUGGGUUGUAAACUGCUUUUAUCUGGGGAUAAAAAGGCCUUGCGAGGCCAACUGAAGGUACCAGAUGAAUAAGCCACGGCUAACUACGUGCCAGCAGCCGCGGUAAUACGUAGGUGGCAAGCGUUGUCCGGAUUUAUUGGGUUUAAAGGGUGCGUAGGCGGUUUAUUAAGUCAGUGGUGAAAGACGAUAGCUUAACUAUCGAGGUGCCAUUGAUACUGAUGAACUUGAGUGCACACGAGGUAAGCGGAAUGGACGGUGUAGCGGUGAAAUGCAUAGAUAUCGUCCAGAACACCGAUAGUGAAGACAGCUUACCAGAGUGCAACUGACGCUGAGGCACGAAAGUGUGGGGAUCAAA